CUGCCCGAGUUGUAAUCUAGAGAAGCGUUAUCCGCGCUGGACCGUGUAUAAGUCUCCUGGAAUGGAGCGUCAUAGAGGGUGAGAAUCCCGUCUUUAACACGGACUCCCAGGGCUUUGUGAUGCGCUCUCAAAGAGUCGAGUUGUUUGGGAAUGCAGCUCUAAAUGGGUGGUAAAUUCCAUCUAAAGCUAAAUAUUGGCGAGAGACCGAUAGCGAACAAGUACCGUGAGGGAAAGAUGAAAAGAACUUUGGAAAGAGAGUUAAACAGUACGUGAAAUUGUUGAAAGGGAAACGCUUGAAGUCAGUCGCGUUGGCCAGGGAUCAACCUUGCUUUUGCUUGGUGUACUUCCUGGUUAACGGGUCAGCAUCAAUUUUGACCAGUGGAGAAAGGUCAGGGGAAUGUGGCAUCUUCGGAUGUGUUAUAGCCUCUGGUCAUAUACAUUGGUUGGGAUUGAGGAACUCAGCACGCCGCAAGGCCGGGUUUUACCACGUUCGUGCUUAGGAUGCUGGCAUAAUGGCUUUAAUCGACCCGUCUUGAAACACGGACCAAGGAGUCUAACAUGCCUGCGAGUGUUUGGGUGGAAAACCCAUGCGCGUAAUGAAAGUGAAAGUUGGGAUCCCUGUCGUGGGGAGCACCGACGCCCGGACCAGACCUUCUGUGACGGAUCCGCGGUAGAGCAUGUAUGUUGGGACCCGAAAGAUGGUGAACUAUGCCUGAAUAGGGUGAAGCCAGAGGAA
rnacentral:rRNA from 2 species